rnacentral:ncRNA from 1 species
AAUUUAUAAAGGCAAACCUGUCGAAAGGCAGAACGCAAAGCUAAAGGGUCUAAAGUCUUAAAGACUAUGCCAGUUGCCAUU